AUUGAACGCUGGCGGCAGGCCUAACACAUGCAAGUCGAACGAGUGGCGGACGGGUGAGUAAUGUCUGGGAAACUGCCUGAUGGAGGGGGAUAACUACUGGAAACGGUAGCUAAUACCGCAUACCAUCGGAUGUGCCCAGCUGGGAUUAGCUAGUAGGUGGGGUGAAGGUUCACCUAGGCGACGAUCCCUAGCUGGUCUGAGAGGAUGACCAGCCACACUGGAACAGAGACACGGUCCAGACUCCUACGAGAGGCAGCGAGGGGGAAGAUUGCACAAUGGGCGAAAGCCUGAAGCAGCCAUGCCGCGUGUAUGAAGGAGGCCUUCGGGUUUUAAAGUACUUACAGCGGGGAGGCGGUACCCGCAGAAGAAGCACCGGCUAACUCCGUGCCAGCAGCCGCGGUAAUAC
rnacentral:rRNA from 1 species